UUUCUCUUUUUCUUGUUCUCUGUAAACCCGAGAGAUGAUUGUGCGUAAAAAUCCCAGUAGAUCUGCAGUUUCUGAAAUGGUCAAAC